UGCAGAUGAUCAGAUUGCGCAGUCUCUUUGUGGAGAGGACUUGAUCAUUAAAGGAAUCAGCGUUCAUAUAUCCAAUGCCGAACCUAAGCACAAUAGCAAUAGACAGUUAGAAAGAAGUGGAAGAUUUGGUGGUAAUCCAGUUCAUCUCAUUUCAAAUGUUUAUGGAAGAAGCACUUCAUUGAAAGUAGUGCUGUAAAUAUUCUGCCAUAGGAAUACUGUCUACAUGCUUUCUCAUUCAAGAAUUCGUCAUCACGCAUCACAGGCCGCGUCUUUGACGUUUUGAAUAAGUCUGGGUGACCGCACCUAAAAUGCACUUGCACUAUUACUCAGCAGCAGUAACAUGGUAACACUUAAAAUGGUACUCGGGGACCUCCAAAGACUAAACUGACAAGCCUUCAAGGAGCCCAGG
rnacentral:lncRNA from 1 species